GUCAGCUGAGCGGUGUUUUGUUGACAUUGUGCAAGGGUAUUUUGAGGACUCGUGUCCUUUUUAGCCCUUCUCUGCGGUGAUUUAGUGCGUAUUUCGGCUCGACGGAUUUUUCGAGAGUAGAACGACGUUUUGCAGCACCGUUUUCCCUUUGAAUCAGGAUCAUCAGCCGGCAUCAUGAGGAAGACUCAGGUGUAGCGGCUGCGUGAUAAUCCGAGCGCCCGUAAUUCGAAGGCUUUGCGAACAGGCUCCUGCUAGCGAGUCGUCCGUCGGCUGCCAGGACCAUCUCCGACGCCGCCCCAGCCGGUGACGUCACGGCCUGCGAGGGCCAACUCGCUCCGUCUAGUUAACAGGUACGGUUGGUGGGAGGAGUUGGCAGCCGGUUGGGUUUCUGUGAGUAGUAACCUCAUUAUCUCAUUUGUUAUUUAUGUGUGGAGAGUUAUCACCAUUCGGCAUUUAGCAUUAAGUAUAAAAAAGGUUUGGGUCACCCGUGAGCUAUAUAGCGUUUUAGAAUAAUGAUAAUAAUUAUAUUUUUUCUUCAUUUUGGCUUCACAUAUAAGAGUAAACAGAGAUGAGUUUAAAGAUAGUCAAAUAAAAGUGAAGAUAGACAUUAGAAUAAAGAGGAGAACUUGGCUGUGGCGGUCAGGGGCAGUGGCGAGGGGGGAGGGGCGGGGGGGGGGGGUGACAGAGGUCAGAAAGCAAAAACUCAUUGCUAUUGCGAGGUGCCACUUGCAAAAGAGGUCGUUGACGAAGCUGCUGUGAAGUGACAAACACAGCAUCCUCCCCCAACACAGACCGCAGAAAAAGAGAGAAAAGAAGAGAAAGAGAGA